rnacentral:lncRNA from 1 species
GUCACCUCAGAUCCCAGGGCUGUGGCGAGAAUCAAGAACUUAGAUGAGGCAAGGCGGAGAAUAAAUAACUAAAAUGGCUGAAGGAAGACAAGGUAUAAUGGAAAGAAUACAAAUCCUGAAGUCAGAAAAGCUGUUUCCGAUACCAGUGCUGGCUAAGUGAUACAGGUUACAAAACUGGAUUAAUUGAAUCACUAUGUCCAAGUUCCUUCUGCAACCCUGGGGAAGACUGCUACCAUAAGCGUGAAACACAUCUGUGACAGAGUAUUAAGGCUUUAUCCACAAAUUACCAAGGGACCACCAAUUCUCUAGAACUCGUGACAGUCAACACAUUCUAAUUUAACAAAGAAAAAAAGAAGUCUGCUGUUUUGAGAUUAACACAACCACGGAUGUAUUCAC